GGAUCUAUAGCUCAGCGGUUAGAGCAUCCGGCUCAUAACCGGUUGGUCAUUGGUUCGAAUCCAGUUAGAUCCACCA
rnacentral:tRNA from 22 species